UUUAUGGAGAGUUUGAUCCUGGCUCAGGAUGAACGCUGGCGGCGUGCCUAAUACAUGCAAGUCGAGCGAACGGACGAGAAGCUUGCUUCUCUGAUGUUAGCGGCGGACGGGUGAGUAACACGUGGAUAACCUACCUAUAAGACUGGGAUAACUUCGGGAAACCGGAGCUAAUACCGGAUAAUAUUUUGAACCGCAUGGUUCAAAAGUGAAAGACGGUCUUGCUGUCACUUAUAGAUGGAUCCGCGCUGCAUUAGCUAGUUGGUAAGGUAACGGCUUACCAAGGCAACGAUGCAUAGCCGACCUGAGAGGGUGAUCGGCCACACUGGAACUGAGACACGGUCCAGACUCCUACGGGAGGCAGCAGUAGGGAAUCUUCCGCAAUGGGCGAAAGCCUGACGGAGCAACGCCGCGUGAGUGAUGAAGGUCUUCGGAUCGUAAAACUCUGUUAUUAGGGAAGAACAUAUGUGUAAGUAACUGUGCACAUCUUGACGGUACCUAAUCAGAAAGCCACGGCUAACUACGUGCCAGCAGCCGCGGUAAUACGUAGGUGGCAAGCGUUAUCCGGAAUUAUUGGGCGUAAAG
rnacentral:rRNA from 1 species